CCUACGGGAGGCAGCAGUGGGGAAUAUUGCACAAUGGGGGAAACCCUGAUGCAGCGACGCCGCGUGAGUGAAGAAGUAUCUCGGUACGUAAAGCUCUAUCAGCAGGGAAGAAAAUGACGGUACCUGACUAAGAAGCCCCGGCUAACUACGUGCCAGCAGCCGCGGUAAUACGUAGGGGGCAAGCGUUAUCCGGAUUUACUGGGUGUAAAGGGAGCGUAGGCGGGAGGACAAGUCUGGAGUGAAAUCCCGGGGCUUAACCCCGGAACUGCUUUGGAAACUGGGCGGCUGGAGUGCAGGAGGGGUAAGCGGAAUUCGUGGUGUAGCGGUGAAAUGCGUAGAUAUUAGGAGGAACACCGGUGGCGAAGGCGGCUUACUGGACUGUAACUGACGUUGAGGCUCGAAAGCGUGGGGAGCAAACAGGAUUAGAUACCCCAGUAGUC
rnacentral:rRNA from 1 species